AUUUUUCGUAUAUCGAGCAUACCAUACUUUUCUCACAAUAAUACAAGUAUUUUUCUGUCAAUAUUUCUGUCAGUUUAUAUAAUGAAAUAUUUUUCACUUUUUAGUUUGAAGUGCUUUAAAAGCGUGUUUUUUUGUAUUUAUGGUGUUAUUUAUUGGUGUUAAAAAAACUUUUAGCGCUACCAAUUUUCGACAAUAGUAGUAGAAGUAGCAAUAGCAAUAGUAACAACAACGGCAAUGGCAGUAGCAAUAGCAUGAGGAGCAGCAGCAGCAACGAACAGGCAACAUUAACCAAAUCAAUGAAUUCACCAUACGAAAAGCAGAACCAAUAAUAACAAUACCAUACAAACUUCAAAAUAUAAAAAAUCAGUAUAAUACGCAGUAGCAGCUGAGAAAUAAAGAAUUAAGGUGAGCCAAAGUUUAAAACCAACUGCAACGACGAACAAUUAACACCAUAGUUGAGUUUACGUGGAAGGAACAAAAGUUGAGGUAUUUCCCAUUCCCGACACGUUUGAACGUUCAAAAGGUUGGCAUUAACUAGGCAUUAACAUCACAAACGUUCGCUCGAAUCCAGAAAAUAAUAAUAAUAAACAAAAUUAAUAAAAUAUAAAAAAUCAUUAAGAUAACACAUUCUAUUUGUAGCACCGUUGAGGUUCCUGUUCGCUAUAAAAAUGAGAAGAGUUUUAGGUCCUAAAUGGUAAAGUUAUUGUGAGUGACUCCAAUGAGGGAUCGUCGGAGCGCCAGUUACCAGAAAAAUUUACUUUUUUUGAACGGCAUUAUAAUAAUAUAUAAUUAUGAAUAAUUCAAUGAUAACUAACCAAUAUUGCAUACAUUUAUUUUGGAUUAUAUUAAAACAUGUUUCGUUCUUCUGGUUCAUUUUAACACAAAAUUGAAAAUGGAAGAUUUUUGAAUUCUAAACCUAAUAUUUUUCGUUUGGUUAGAUAAUGUGAUUAGCUGAAAUUUUACCUUAACAUUUGUUUGUUAACCAAACCAAUGUUACGGGAAGUAAACAAAAGCUUCUAUGUUAAAAUUUCAGUACAAUGUUUGACGUUCUUAGCAUGUUAAAUAUUGGAGCCCUCAACUAUUUAUGUUGCAUUUAUUUUUAAAAUAUUUAUAGUAUAGAUAUUUUAACAAAUACAAAAAAAUAAUUUUUAA